UGGGGAAUAUUGGACAAUGGGCGCAAGCCUGAUCCAGCCAUGCCGCGUGAGUGAUGAAGGCCUUAGGGUUGUAAAGCUCUUUUUGGCGGGGACGAUAAUGACGGUACCCGCAGAAUAAGUCCCGGCUAACUUCGUGCCAGCAGCCGCGGUAAUACGAAGGGGACUAGCGUUGUUCGGAAUCACUGGGCGUAAAGCGCACGUAGGCGGAUUUGUAAGUCAGGGGUGAAAUCCCGGGGCUCAACCUCGGAACUGCCUUUGAUACUGCGGAUCUCGAGUCCGAUAGAGGUGGGUGGAAUUCCUAGUGUAGAGGUGAAAUUCGUAGAUAUUAGGAAGAACACCGGUGGCGAAGGCGGCCCACUGGAUCGGUACUGACGCUGAGGUGCGAAAGCGUGGGGAGCAAACAGGAUUAGAUACCCCCGUAGUCCCUGAGCGGGCUGGCAAGGCGCAU
rnacentral:rRNA from 1 species